GAUGAACGCUGGCGGCGUGCCUAAUACAUGCAAGUCGAGCGAACAGACGAGGAGCUUGCUCCUCUGACGUUAGCGGCGGACGGGUGAGUAACACGUGGAUAACCUACCUAUAAGACUGGGAUAACUUCGGGAAACCGGAGCUAAUACCGGAUAAUAUAUUGAACCGCAUGGUUCAAUAGUGAAAGACGGUUUUGCUGUCACUUAUAGAUGGAUCCGCGCCGCAUUAGCUAGUUGGUAAGGUAACGGCUUACCAAGGCAACGAUGCGUAGCCGACCUGAGAGGGUGAUCGGCCACACUGGAACUGAGACACGGUCCAGACUCCUACGGGAGGCAGCAGUAGGGAAUCUUCCGAAAUGGGCGAAAGCCUGACGGAGCAACGCCGCGUGAGUGAUGAAGGUCUUCGGAUCGUAAAACUCUGUUAUUAGGGAAGACCAAAUGUGUAAGUAACUAUGCACGUCUUGACGGUACCUAAUCAGAAAGCCACGGCUAACUACGUG
rnacentral:rRNA from 1 species